UAGAAAUGAGAGUAAAGGAAAUUCAACAACUUCUGUCUUUACCAAGAAAUACUAGUUCAGCAUCAUACAGAAUCAGAAGAGGAAUGAGAAUGGAAAUAGAACAAUUGCAAUUAUUAUUAACAAAUAAAACUGGUUUACUGGAUCAGAAUGAAUCAUUAAUAG